rnacentral:rRNA from 1 species
GACGAACGCUGGCGGCGUGCUUAACACAUGCAAGUCGAACGGAAAGGCCCUGCUUUUGUGGGGUGCUCGAGUGGCGAACGGGUGAGUAACACGUGAGUAACCUGCCCUUGACUUUGGGAUAACUUCAGGAAACUGGGGCUAAUACCGGAUAGGAGCUCCUGCUGCAUGGUGGUGGUUGGAAAGUUUCGGCGGUUGGGGAUGGACUCGCGGCUUAUCAGCUUGUUGGUGGGGUAGUGGCUUACCAAGGCAUUGACGGGUAGCCGGCCUGAGAGGGUGACCGGCCACAUUGGGACUGAGAUACGGCCCAGACUCCUACGGGAGGCAGAAGUGGGGAAUAUUGCACAAUGGGCGGAAGCCUGAUGCAGCAACGCCGCGUGCGGGAUGACGGCCUUCGGGUUGUAAACCGCUUUCGCCUGUGACGAAGCGUGAGUGACGGUAAUGGGUAAAGAAGCACCGGCUAACUACGUG